rnacentral:rRNA from 1 species
ACGCUGGCGGCAGCCUCAUACAUGCAAGUCGAGCGAGAACGUUGCUUCGGCAACUAGUAAAGCGGCGGACGGGUGAGUAACGCGUAGGAAUCUACCUUUCAGUGGGGGAUAGCUCGGGGAAACCCGAAUUAAUACCGCAUAUACCCUAAGGGGGAAAGAGGGCCUAUCCUUGGAAGCUCUCGCUGUUAGAUGAGCCUGCGUGAGAUUAGUUUGUUGGUGGGGUAAUGGCCUACCAAGACUACGAUCUCUAGCUGGUCUGAGAGGACGAUCAGCCACACUGGGACUGAGACACGGCCCAGACUCCUACGGGAGGCAGCAGUAGGGAAUAUUGGACAAUGGGGGCAACCCUGAUCCAGCUAUGCCGCGUGUGUGAAGAAGGCUCUAGGGUUGUAAAGCACUUUAGGUAAGGACGAAAAGAAUAUAGUUAAUACCUAUGUUCCGUGACUUAACUUACAGAAUAAGGACCGGCUAACUCCGUGCCAGCAGCCGCGGUAAUACGGAGGGUCCAAGCGUUAAUCGGAAUUACUGGGCGUAAAGCGCGCGUAGGCGGUUUGUUAAGUUGGAUGUGAAAUCCCUGGGCUCAACCUAGGAACUGCAUUCAAAACUUACAGACUAGAGUACGAUAGAGGAGAGUAGAAUUCCUGGUGUAGCGGUGAAAUGCGUAGAUAUCAGGAGGAAUACCAAUGGCGAAGGCAACUCUCUGGAUCGACACUGACGCUGAGGUGCGAAAGCGUGGGUAGCAAACAGGAUUAGAUACCCUGGUAGUCCACGCCGUAAACGAUGAGAACUAGCCGUUGGAUCUUAGAUUCAGUGGUACAGCUAACGCAUUAAGUUCUCCGCCUGGGGAGUACG